GCAUCACUGCCACCGGGUAGUAAAUGUUAAAGCAUUUUUUACACAUCGUUAGGUCAUUGAAGAUGUGUGAUAAUGCUUUUUGUUUU
rnacentral:ncRNA from 1 species